rnacentral:rRNA from 1 species
GAUUAACGCUGGCGGUACGUCUAAUACAUGCAAGUCGAACGGACACUUCGGUGUCAGUGGCGAACGGGUGAGUAACACGUAGGUAACCUGCCCUUAAGACGGGGAUAACUUUUGGAAACGAAAGCUAAUACCGGAUUGAAAGUAGAAUAGGCACCUAACCUAUUUAAAAGGUCCUUUCGGGGACUACUUAAGGAGGGGCCUACGGCGCAUUAGUUAGUUGGUGAGGUAAUGGCUCACCAAGACGAUGAUGCGUAGCUGGACUGAGAGGUUGAACAGCCACACUGGGACUGAGAACGGCCCAG